rnacentral:rRNA from 1 species
GAUGAACGCUGGCGGCGUGCCUAAUACAUGCAAGUCGAGCGAACAGACGAGGAGCUUGCUCCUCUGACGUUAGCGGCGGACGGGUGAGUAACACGUGGAUAACCUACCUAUAAGACUGGGAUAACUUCGGGAAACCGGAGCUAAUACCGGAUAACAUGUUGAACCGCAUGGUUCAACAGUGAAAGACGGUUUUGCUGUCACUUAUAGAUGGAUCCGCGUCGCAUUAGUUAGUUGGUAAGGUAACGGCUUACCAAGGCAACGAUGCGUAGCCGACCUGAGAGGGUGAUCGGCCACACUGGAACUGAGACACGGUCCAGACUCCUACGGGAGGCAGCAGUAGGGAAUCUUCCGCAAUGGGCGAAAGCCUGACGGAGCAACGCCGCGUGAGUGAAGAAGGUCUUCGGAUCGUAAAACUCUGUUAUUAGGGAAGAACAAAUGUGUAAGUAACUAUGCACGUCUUGACGGUACCUAAUCAGAAAGCCACGGCUAACUACGUG